rnacentral:misc_RNA from 1 species
GAUGAAGAACGUAGCGAAAUGCGAUAAGUAAUGUGAAUUGCAGAAUUCAGUGAAUCAUCGAAUCUUUGAACGCACCUUGCGCCCUUUGGACAUUCCGAAGGGCAUGCCUGUUUGAGUAUCAUGAACACCUCAACUCUCACGGAUUGUCCGUGAUGAGCUUGGACUUUGGGGGUCUUGCCGGCCUGUGGUCGGCUCCUCUCAAAUGGAUCAGCUUGCCAGUGUUUGGUGGCAUCACAGGUGUGAUAACUAUCUGCGCUUGUGGUUUUCCAUCAGAUAACCUUCAGUGAUAUGGAGGUUCGCUGGAGCUCACAAAUGUCUCUCCUUAGUGAGGACAGCUCUUUGAACGUUUGAUCUCAAAUCAGGUAGGACUACCCGCUGAACUUAAGCAUAUCAAUAAGCGGAGGA